GACGAACGCUGGCGGCGUGCUUAACACAUGCAAGUCGAACGGAAAGGCCUCGUUCUUGGGGUGCUCGAGUGGCGAACGGGUGAGUAACACGCGAGUAACCUGCCCUUUACUCUUUGAUAACUUCAGAAAACAGGGGCUAAUACCGGGUAUGAGCUCCUGCUGCGUGGGGUGGGGUGUAGAGUGUCUGCGGGUGGGGAUGGAGUCGCGGCGUAUUAGCUUGUUUGGGGGGGAGUGGCUUACCAAAGCGUUGUCGGGUAGGCGGGCCGGGAGGGUGUACGGGCAAAAUGGGGAUUGAAUAAGGGCCAGACCCCCAAGGGAGGGAGCAGUGGGGAAUAAUGCAAAAAGGGUGGAAGCCUGAUGCAGCAACGGCGGGGGCGGGAUGACGGGCUUUGGGUUGGAAACCGCUUUCGCUCAUGAAGAAGCUUUGUGUGACGGUAGUGGGUAAAGAAGCACCGGCUAACUACGUG
rnacentral:rRNA from 1 species